rnacentral:rRNA from 1 species
CGGUGGUUAUAGCAGCGGAGAUACACCCGAUCCCUUUCCGAACUCGGACGUGAAACCCGCUCACGCCAAUGGUACUUUGUCUCAAGACACGGGAGAGUAGGUCGCUGCCGG